rnacentral:rRNA from 1 species
GAUCAACGCUGGCGGCGUGCCUAAUGCAUGCAAGUCGCACGGCUGACCUUCGGGUCAGCAGUGGCGAACGGCUGAGGAACACGUACGAAUCUACCCUCCGGUGGGGAAUAACGCCCCGAAAGGGGUGCUAAUACCGCGUACGCUGGGGAACCAGGAAAGCAGCGAUGCGCCGGGGGCGGAGCGUGCGGCCCAUCAGGUCGUUGGCGGGGUAAGAGCCCACCAAGCCGGUGACGGGUCGCUGGUCUGUGAGGACGAUCAGCCAGACUGGGACUGCGACACGGCCCAGACACCUACGGGUGGCAGCAGCAAGGAAUCUUCGGCACUGGGCGCAAGCCUGACCGAGCAACGCCGCGUGGAGGAUGACGGCUUUCGGUU